GAUGAACGCUGGCGGCGUGCCUAAUACAUGCAAGUCGAGCGAGUGUGCCAUGAGGUUGGGUGUGUGUGCACUGUGUGAAACGAGAGAGUAACUAGUGGCGGACGUGCCAAUAAGACUGGGAUAACUUCGGCAAACGGUAGCUAAUACACCAGGAUAUUGUUACCCACAUCGUUCAACAGUAAAAGAUGCUUCUGCACUCACUAAUAGAUGGAUCCGCGGUGCAUUAGCUAGUUGGUAAGGUAACGGCUUACCAAGGCGAUGAUGCAUAGCCGACAUGAGAGACUGAUCGGCCACACUGGAACUGAGACACGGCCCAAACUCCUACGGGAGGCAGCAGUAGGGAAUCUUCCACAAUGGACGAAAGCCUGAUGGAGCAACGCCGCGUGAGUGAUGAAGGGCUUCGGAUCGUAAAGCUCUGUUAUUAGUGAAGAAGGACUGUGGUAGUAACUGUGCACAGCUUGACGGUAAUUAAUUAGAAAGUCACGGCUAACUACGUG
rnacentral:rRNA from 1 species